UGCCAAGCAGCCGCGGUAAUUCCAGCUCCAAUAGCGUAUAUUAAAGUUGUUGUGGUUAAAAAGCUCGUAGUUGGAUCUCGGCGGUCUGAGGGCGGUUCGCUUCAGAGCGCUACUGCCCUAUAGACCGUAGUUUUGCCAGAGGUCUCAGGGUGCUCUUAACCGAGUGUCUUGCGAUGCUGGCAGGUUUACUUUGAAAAAAUUAGAGUGCUCAAAGCAGGCUUUUACGCCUGAAUAUUCGUGCAUGGAAUAAUAGAAUAGGAAGUCGUUUCUAUUUUGUUGGUUUUCGGAAAUCGACUUAAUGAUUAAUAGGGACAGUCGGGGGCAUUUGUAUUCAAACGACAGAGGUGAAAUUCUUGGACCGUUUGAAGACAAACUACUGCGAAAGCAUUUGCCAAGAAUGUUUUCAUUAAUCAAGAACGAAAGUUAGAGGUUCGAAGGCGAUUAGAUACCGCCCUAGUUCUAACCAUAAACGAUGCCAGCUAGCGAUCUGCCGACGUUUUUUUUGUAGACUCGGCAGGAAGCUUCCGGGAAACCAAAGCAUUUGGGUUCCAGGGGAAGUAUGGUUGCAAAGCUGAAACUUAAAGGAAUUGACGGAAGGGCACCACCAGGAGUGGAGCCUGUGGCUUAAUUUGACUCAACACGGGAAAUCUCACCAGGCCCGGACACUGGAAGGAUUGACAGAUUGAUAGCUCUUUCUUGAUUCGGUGGGUGGUGGUGCAUGGCCGUUCUUAGUUGGUGGAGUGAUUUGUCUGGUUAAUUCCGAUAACGAACGAGACUCUGUCCUGCUAAAUAGUGUCCGCCUCUCUUUUGGGCGGACAAUUCUUCUUAGAGGGACUGGCGACUCUUAGUCGCACGAGAUUGAGCAAUAACAGGUCUGUGAUGCCCA
rnacentral:rRNA from 1 species